rnacentral:rRNA from 1 species
UACGUAGGGCGCGAGCGUUGUCCGGAAUUAUUGGGCGUAAAGAGCGUGUAGGCGGUUUGGUAGGUCCGCUGUGAAAACUCGAGGCUCAACCUCGAGACGCCGGUGGAAACCAUCAGACUAGAGUCCGGAAGAGGAGAGUGGAAUUCCUGGUGUAGCGGUGAAAUGCGCAGAUAUCAGGAAGAACACCCGUGGCUAAGGCGGCUCUCUAGUACGGUACUGACGCUGAGACGCGAAAGCGUGGGGAGCGAACAGG